AUUUUUAGGAUUGGUUGGGGAUGGAGGGGGUUGGGAAUUCGGGAAGGGUAGUAAACUAGAAACAGAAUUUUCUUCUGCUUCGAAAAUGUAUUUCUCUGCAGUCUAGAAAUGCCCAUGUUCAGAAGUUAUCGUUAUCGCCCUCACUGCCGUAGUGUCGUGAUUCUCAGGCAAACAACGUGGUUGUAAUUUUCAAAUGCAUCCACUAUCCUAGCAAUCUUCAAACCGACGUGUCCGCAGGCGAAUUCCUUCCUGCUUAAAAUGUCUUGAUUGGUGCACAGCUUUUGAUUAUGUAUCCAUCAAUUUGAAUAGGUUUCCUGUGAUGAAGGUACUGGUGUACCUUGUUGAAGUCCUGGUUUCAUCCAAUUAGAACUCGGGAAUUGGGCUCUCUCCUAACGGGUACAAUCCAUUCUAUAAUUGGUCGGAAAUUAUAAUGGCAAGCAACACCAUCGGCUCGGGUAUCCAUUUUGGAAAAUGGUGUCCGUAAGGUGCGUUUCGUGUCAGAUGUUUUCCAAUUUAAUAAAAUUUCAGAUGGAUGAGAUCAACCCGACUACUUCGUCUGAAAAUAUGUGACCUAAACUUAUGUAGGAUUCGAAUAUGAUAUUGCAUGAAUGGAGUUACACAAAGCGUUGUGGUUAUGAAUGAAGUUAAAUAAACUCGUGUAAAUCUGUUCAGACAUGCUCUGGGUGGUAUGUGGUUAUAAAAUUUAUUUCCUGAAUCAACAAGUUAUAUUUCAAGAAUAAAUAUAAUCUUUAUUUAUUAUAAAAAUCACUAAGUAUUAGACUGGCUUUCUUGUCAUCAAGUAAACUUAGUCUUAUUUCUCGUAUGAAAAAUGCAAAUCUAGAUACAGUGUCGGGCCGUCACACGCUGAUAUUCCGCAAUGCCGAUAUUUUUGCGUUUCUUUGAAAU
rnacentral:lncRNA from 1 species